rnacentral:rRNA from 1 species
UACGGAGGAGGCAAGCGUUAUCCGGAAUUAUUGGGCGUAAAGCGUCCGUAGGUGGCUAGUCAAGUCUGCGGUCAAAGACUGGGGCUUAACCCUGGAAAGGACGUGGAAACUGACGAGCUAGAGUGCAGUAGGGGUAGAGGGAAUUCCCGGUGUAGCGGUGAAAUGCGUUGAUAUCGGAAGGAACGCCGGUGGCGAAAGCGCACUACUGGUCCUCUUCUGACGCUGAGGCGCGAAAGCCAGGGGAGCAAACGGG